ensembl:lncRNA
UGAAAAUACGUUUUCACAAGGCAGUUAAAUAAGAUAAACAUGAGAUAACCUUGAUGACCAUGUUUUGUUUAGUCAUGGCAUCCUUUGACCAUGAGCCGUGCAGCUACACUUGUGGUUGGUGAAGACAAACGACUGCCCGAGUCUGCCAUUAUUUAUGCUACCAAGUUGUUCCCAAAAGCACGAGUGCCACUCCUAUGACUGACUGCUCCUGGCAGAUUGCUCAGGUUCCUGUGUAGCCUGAACAUGGUUCCCCAUUUGACUUGUUUCUUCAGACGAAGGUUUUACUACACUGAGGAUAAGUGAGGACGUCAGCUCAAGAGAACAGAAUGAAUUGAAAACGAAACUGUGCUACAGGAAAAUCAAAGUGAGAUCCUCUAACUUCGCCACCUAAAAGAACUUCGUAAAGAGACACUGGAACUUGGGAAGGAAAAUACAGCAGAGAUGGUGGUACCAGGAACUUGGCUAAGAAGACAGAAGCAACUUCUUGUAUUUAUGUACAGUGGUCUUUCCAACUGAUAGUUACAAAGGGAGAGGAAGUAAUUUAUUGUUUGUUUAUUUAUUUGUCUAAAAAAAAAAAAAAAGUGAGGUUUUAUAAUGUUCAGAUUAUGUGAAAUAGUUUUUUAUCCGUAUAAACAG